rnacentral:piRNA from 1 species
UACCAGGCUAUUCAUUGCUACCUAUGAGA